rnacentral:tRNA from 1 species
GGAGAGUUGUCCGAGUGGUUGAAGGAGCACGCCUGGAAAGCGUGUGUACGGUGAACGCUGUACCGAGAGUUCGAAUCUCUCACUCUCCGCCA